AGUGGAAUCAGGUUUCGAACCUGCGACCCUCCGGUCCCGAGAUCGAGACCUUACCACUAGGCCUCCGC